rnacentral:rRNA from 1 species
UACGGGGGGGGCAAGCGUUGUUCGGAAUUACUGGGCGUAAAGGGCUCGUAGGCGGCCAACUAAGUCGGACGUGAAAUACCUCGGCUCAACCGAGGAACUGCGCCCAAAACUACUGUGCUUGAGGGAGAUAGAGGUGAGCGGAACUUAGGGUGGAGCGGUGAAAUGCGUUGAUAUCCUAAGGAACACCCGUGGCGAAAGCGGCUCACUGGAUCUCUUCUGACGCUGAGGCACGAAAGCUAGGGUAGCGAACGGG